UUCCGUUCCUCUGUUAUUCUUCAGACCCCAGAAGGGAAAGUAAAGGUAUCUGUAGCGCCCAGUUAUAGUCCAAGUUGAGGAAACAGCUAUUUUUCAGCUUUUCUGGAGGAAUGCAAAGUUCUCUUUCCUUAAGACAAAUGAGUCUGUUCCCUGCUCCUGCCUGCCUCCCAUCUAAUCCUUUGCUUAGGGAGCGACUUUUGAAGUCAAUGAUGAUGCCAGAUUUGGAAGAAUUCUAGAGGCAUGUGUUUGGGGACCAGCGCGGAUGAGAAUCAUAUUGGAUCUGCAGACAGAGAGGUGGUCCUGCAAGGAGUGACAAGGAGUGACCAGCCUCUAUGGAAAGUCCUCCCUGCUGUAUUUCCAACAGUCUACCAGGAUUGCCUCAGGGUGAAGAGAAGUUGACAAGCACUAACUCCAAUGGGCACUGGAAUAAAACUGGCCUCGUUCAACUGUUCGUGCAAUUCUUCCAGCAAUGGAGUUAUCGCUUCACUUUUCAUGUGUCCAAGAGGAAACUUGGAAUCUGAAGUGGGUGAAUUUAAUGAAGAAGAACAAACAUUUGAGCAAACCAGGGCUUACUGCAAUACCUGGCUACCAGCCUGAAGAUGAAGUUAACAUAGGAGGAUAACAAAGCAAAGAGACUUUCAUUAAAGCAGAACUGGAACUUGACAUGCUGUACCUGCUGCCACCCUAUCUUGGAAUGUCCCGCACCAGGAAUCCAUACCAGGGAUGUAGGCUGCUGUCCUUAAGACUGUCAUUGUGCUAGAGAGAGUUGGGUGGGACAAAGCAAUAUAUUUGUCCUCCAAUGGCAUAUGUUUCAUCAGGGCAACCAUGUGGAAAACUCAGACACAAAGAAGUGUUUGUUUCUUGCAAGAGCAGUGUGAACAGAGCAUUAAUGUAAUUUUGAUGCCAGAUAAAGUACUUUGUUAUAGCAGAGAGCAUAAUAAUGAAGAGACUUAUAGCGAACCUGGUUUGUUGGUCUUUGGAUUUCUCCCAUGGUACAGUAGUAAAGUUGGCUCAACCAUUUCAAACAGCUGAGUAUACUGUGAAUAUUUCUUAUUUUCCCCUCCCCCCUGCAUGGAGUAGCCUAUGGGAAUUUCAGAAAUUUAAAAAAAAUUUAUAAAGGAUUUUGUCAUGCAGACUUGGUCCAAUAGGUGUGCAGCUGUUUAUAUUUUGAAUGGUUUUUAAGUGUAGGUAAGAUAACACUCCACAAUGAAGUUCAUCAGCCUUUAGGAUACAGGAUAAAUCUAUUGAAUAAUUUAUCGCAACACUAAAGAGAAGUUUUGCUUAGAAAUGGGGAUUUAUGUGGUGAUUCAGUUCUUAUGGAAACAGUACAAGAAAAUAAAGAUGAGGAUAGUAGCCAUAUUUUAAUAGAAAUGAGCUGGGUUAGAAAGGCUAAUCCACACGUAUUUUAGGAUUGUAAGAAAACAACUCUGGUGGAGAGGGAGGAUUGUUGGAUGUAAAAUCAGGGGACUAGAUUAGAAUACCAAUUCGGUUGAGCCACUUAGAGCAAGUGACAAUGGUGGGGAUAAUAAUGCUUAACCAAAUUAUCUCAUAUGGCACUUGUGAGAUGAGCAGUUAAUGUACUAAGUAAUACUAAAGUUCUUCGAAAAUUAGAAAUUACCCAUCAGUUAUUAUUUCAGAGCAGGUUUAACAAUAAGAGAUGGACAGAUGGACAGAUCUUACCUAAUCUAAAAAAAAAAAAAGACAAAUGUAUACCUCCAAUAAUACAUACAAUUUGGCAUUCCACUAAAAUGUAACUGGUAACUAAAUCGAGAUCUGUUUCCUGUGGUAUCUUGGGUUUCCAUAUUAAGUGUCAGCUUUAAUAUAUCUUUUUAUGCAGCUUAUGACAUCACAACUUCAUUGUAGGUCCCUGGCAAGGAUGAUUGAGAGUAAUUGAUAGGAGGCUCAAAACGUAAACUAAAGAAAAAUCCGCAUCUUUCUCUAUACUCCCCUUGUGAAGUACACUCAGCUUCAGGGAAAUGUGGGGAUAUUUUAAUAGAAUCUUCACUGUCAAGCUGCUUUCUGAGAACUGACUAGUUGUGUGCUGGACAGGAUCAGACCCCUGGCCAACACAGACCUAAAUGAAGGGAUACACAAAUGGAAUGAGUUAAAUAAAAUUACUUUUUUUUAAUGUAAUACUAUUAUUUUAUAAGAAGAUACUUCAGUUCAAAGCCUUUGUGAUUCAAGACAGAAUAAUCAUCAAUCAACCAACAAUGAAUUAAUCAAAAUGUUGUCAAGUUGAGACCCUGGUGGGUCUAUUUUUUUUUGCAGUACGCGGGCCUCUCACUGUUGUGGCCUCUCCCGUUGAGGAGCACAGGCUCCGGACGCGCAGGCCCAGCGGCCAUGGCCCACGGGCCCAGCCGCUCCGCGGCAUGUGGGAUCUUCCCGGACCGGGGCACGAGCCCGCGUCCCCUGUAUCGACAGGCGGACUCUCAACCACUGUGCCACCAGGGAAGCCCGGGUCUACUUUUAUUAGGAAAUGAUUAAUUUAUGAUCAGCUUAUUAAUGUUCAUUUGUAUUCAAAGAGAGUUUGUUGUCUAUUAAAUAUAAUGUCAUGAAAUCUUAGUUUCACUAUGAAUUUUCUUAAACUUCUACCUAGCUUCUGCUGACUUAUCCUAAAUCCCAAAUAGUGGAAUUCAAACCUCUCUUCAUAAUCUGCUGAACCUCAGAAUAUUGGAAAUUUAAUGCAUCAUCAUGUUUUAGUCCUCCAAAAAUUAGUCCUCCAGACUUUUUCUGCCCUUUCAGUUUAGAAAAAGAAUUAUUUAAGAACCAAGAGAAAGGUUUUGACAGUACUUUAUUCCAACAGGAAGUUCUGUAAAUAUCCAAAGAAACCUUAUUGCUCAAAUAUUGCCAAAUUUUUUUGCAGACCCAAGAUAUUGAGAUAGUCAUAAUCAGCUCAAUUUCCCCAUCCUUUGGCAUUCAGAGCUCUCACUGUGUAAAAUAAAAUGUAAUAAAAAUGAAAAAAAUUAAACAUAAUCUUAAAAAGCAAGAAAAGAGAAAUAGUGAAUCAUCCGCUGGGGUUGGAAAAGCUUAGUUGUUUAUCUUGCUGAAACCUCUGUAAUUUUUGAUUUUCCUUGAAUGGUUAGGCAGGGACAGUAGUAUUGAAAGACCAUUAUGAGUCAAGGUUCUGGGUUCUAUUUUUAUUUCCAUGUUCUUGCAUCUAGUUGAAUUUCCCCAUUAACUAAAUACUGAGAUUUUGAGUAUAUUGUUAAGUAAAUGUUUAUAUAGGCUUAAGAUUCUUGGAUUAAAGGUUCUAUAAAGGAAAAGAAUAUUAUUGCUGUUACUCAUGAGAAAUAGCUUUAGUGCUGAUUUUGGCAUGGUCUGGCAGCCUUCAUGUUGGCUAGCAGAGAAAAGUCAACACAAAUUCAUCAAGCACAUUCCCUGCACCAAGUACUAACAGCAUAAGAGCUAUCAUGGUGGGAAUUAAGAAUACUUCCUUUAGAAACAGAUAAUUGAGUACAAACAGUCUUUCUCAUGAAAAUAAUACAAAUAAUUUAUCUACUCUUGAUUAACUUCCUGGUAGGAUGCUGGGCACUCAGUAGACUUGUUGAUUGACUUACCCCCACUUCCAUCUGGUUAAUUUUAUCCUUUAUCCAACCCACCUGAAGCAAGCAGGGUAGAUUAUUCAAGAUGAGCUUUUUUGUGUGUUUGUGUUAGCUAUUAUUUUUUUUUCUUUAUUGGAGUAUAAUUGCUUUACAAUGGUGUGUUAGUUUCUGCUUUACAACAAAAUGAAUCAGUUAUAUAUAUACAUAUGUUCCCAUAUCUCUUCCCUCUUGCAUCUCCCUCCCUCCCACCCUCCCUAUCCCACCCCUCCAGGCGAUCACAAAGCACGGAGCUGAUCUCCCUGUGCUAUGCGGCUGCUUCCCACUAGCUAUCUAUUUUACGUUUGGCAGUGUAUAUAUAUCCAUGCCACUCUCUCACUUUCUCCCAGCUUACCUUUCCCUCUCCCGAUAUUCUCAAGUCCAUUCUCUAGUAGGUCUGUGUCUUUAUUCCCGUCUUACCCCUAGGUUCUUCAUGACAUUUUUUUUUUCUUAAAUUCCAUAUACAUGUGUUAGCAUACGGUAUUUGUCUCUCUCUUUCUGAUGUACU